rnacentral:lncRNA from 1 species
AGGUGCCUGAUGCUGCUGAAAAGACAAGGACUCUUCCCCACCCCACCUCACCCAUGUUAGGUGGCCAGGCAGGUGCCUGACACUGCUGUCCUCUGGGGAGGUGUAAAAUUUCCAUUAGAAAAAUGCAAGGAGGCUGGCCCUGGUGGCACAAACCUUAAAUCCCAGCACUCAGGAUGGAGAGACCGGCAGAUCUCGGAGUUUCAGGCUAGUUAGAACUACGCAGUAAGACCCCGUCUCAAAAACAAACAAACGAGCAAGAAGACGAAAAAGGAGGAGGAAGAGAACUAAGUGCCAAGAACUGGAAGAGGAAGUAUGUUGCUGCGCUGCAGAGUUGCCGUGGCAAUGGGUCAGCAGCAGAAAGAAACAGGUUCUGCCCUCAACAGACCAUCUGUUAGGAAGGGACCUUAAAUCUCCAAGAAAGGAAGUCUCUAGAGAUAGGACAUUCCAUUCUGUUGGAGUUUAAAUUUGGUCCCAGAGCAACAAGACCUGCUUUGGAGCCUCCAAACCUCAGGACUCCACAGUUCUCAAAAAGACAGCCGAACGGCUUCCUGGAAUCCCGUGUGAGCUGUCAGCUCUGCAGCAGUGUAAAGAUGCUGGAGCAUCCUCCAACCGCAAGCCAAGGACCACAAAGCCUUGCGUAUCACCUUGGCUUUCUUACAGACACCCCUUCUGCCUGCCGGGUCCUUCAGAAGACUCCCCGGAGUCCCCUCUCUAUUCGGCUGCUUGCUGGUGAAAAGGUCAGCUUAGGAACUUUGGGAAGGUCAUGGAACACUUGCCUCUACAGAAGGGAGAGGCCAAUUAACAUUUCUCAGACCACAGGGCGGGAACUGACCUGCGGGUGGGGACACAUUCCUCAGGACGGACUGUUGUCCACCUUCAGACAAGGGAAGUCCUUGUCACCUCAUUCCCUAAAGACCACUCAGUUUAAAGGGUGCACUGUUCCGCCAAUCAUCUUGUGCCUAGUUGCUGAUGCUCUAUUCUGCCCCUGGAAGCCAUAUAAAAACUUGCCAACUGGGUGCUGGGGUUGCCACCUCUUGUUCGGGUCUGGGUUGACCCCAGUGCACUGGAACAAUAAAUUCCUCUUGCUUUUUGCACCUA